rnacentral:rRNA from 1 species
GAACGAGAAAGUGGAGCAAUCCAUGAGUAAAGUGGCGACCGGCGUGAGUGAACACGUGACUAACCUACCUUCGAGUGGGGGAUAACCUCGGGAAACCGGGGCUAAUACCGCAUAACAUCGAGAGAUCAAAGGAGCAAUUCGCUUGAAGAGGGGGUCGCGGCUGAUUAGUUAGUUGGCGGGGUAACGGCCCGCCAAGACGAUGAUCGGUAGCCGGCCUGAGAGGGCGCACGGCCACACUGGAACUGAAACACGGUCCACACUCCUACGGAGAGGCAGCAGUGGGGAAUUAUGCGCAAUGGGGGAAACCCUGACGCAGCAACGGCGCGUGGAGGAUGAAGUCCCUUGGGACGUAAACUCCUUUCGACUGGGAAGAUAAUGACCGUACCAGUGGAAGAAGCCCCGGCUAACUUCGUG